CGGGGCGUAGUAUAACGGUCAUUAUGCAGGGCUGGGGGUCCUGUGAUUGGAGUUCAAUUCUCCACGCCCCGACCA
rnacentral:tRNA from 1 species